UCCCUGGUGGCUCAGAGGUUAAAGCCCUUGCCUGCAAUGCGGGAGACCCGGGUUUGAUCCCUGGGUUGGGAA
rnacentral:tRNA from 1 species